AUGAACGCUAGCUACAGGCUUAACACAUGCAAGUCGAGGGGCAGCAUGAACUUAGCUUGCUAAGUUUGAUGGCGACCGGCGCACGGGUGAGUAACACGUAUCCAACCUGCCGAUGACUCGGGGAUAGCCUUUCGAAAGAAAGAUUAAUACCCGAUGGCAUAGUUCUUCCGCAUGGUGGAACUAUUAAAGAAUUUCGGUCAUCGAUGGGGAUGCGUUCCAUUAGGUUGUUGGCGGGGUAACGGCCCACCAAGCCUUCGAUGGAUAGGGGUUCUGAGAGGAAGGUCCCCCACAUUGGAACUGAGACACGGUCCAAACUCCUACGGGAGGCAGCAGUGAGGAAUAUUGGUCAAUGGACGAGAGUCUGAACCAGCCAAGUAGCGUGAAGGAUGACUGCCCUAUGGGUUGUAAACUUCUUUUAUACGGGAAUAAAGUGAGGCACGUGUGCCUUUUUGUAUGUACCGUAUGAAUAAGGAUCGGCUAACUCCGUGCCAGCAGCCGCGGUAAUACGGAGGAUCCGAGCGUUAUCCGGAUUUAUUGGGUUUAAAGGGAGCGUAGGCGGACGCUUAAGUCAGUUGUGAAAGUUUGCGGCUCAACCGUAAAAUUGCAGUUGAUACUGGGUGUCUUGAGUACAGUAGAGGCAGGCGGAAUUCGUGGUGUAGCGGUGAAAUGCUUAGAUAUCACGAAGAACUCCGAUUGCGAAGGCAGCUUGCUGGACUGUAACUGACGCUGAUGCUCGAAAGUGUGGGUAUCAAACAGGAUUAGAUACCCUGGUAGUCCACACAGUAAACGAUGAAUACUAGGUGUUGGGAAGCAUUGCUUCUCGGUGCCGUCGCAAACGCAGUAAGUAUUCCACCUGGGGAGUACGUUCGCAAGAAUGAAACUCAAAGGAAUUGACGGGGGCCCGCACAAGCGGAGGAACAUGUGGUUUAAUUCGAUGAUACGCGAGGAACCUUACCCGGGCUUGAAUUGCAACUGAAUGAUGUGGAGACAUGUCAGCCGCAAGGCAGUUGUGAAGGUGCUGCAUGGUUGUCGUCAGCUCGUGCCGUGAGGUGUCGGCUUAAGUGCCAUAACGAGCGCAACCCUUAUCGAUAGUUACCAUCAGGUUAUGCUGGGGACUCUGUCGAGACUGCCGUCGUAAGAUGUGAGGAAGGUGGGGAUGACGUCAAAUCAGCACGGCCCUUACGUCCGGGGCUACACACGUGUUACAAUGGGGGGUACAGAAGGCAGCUACACGGCGACGUGAUGCUAAUCCCGAAAGCCUCUCUCAGUUCGGAUUGGAGUCUGCAACCCGACUCCAUGAAGCUGGAUUCGCUAGUAAUCGCGCAUCAGCCACGGCGCGGUGAAUACGUUCCCGGGCCUUGUACACACCGCCCGUCAAGCCAUGAAAGCCGGGGGUACCUGAAGUGCGUAACCGCAAGGAGCGCCCUAGGGUAAAACUGGUGAUUGGGGCU
rnacentral:rRNA from 1 species